UAAGCAGAGGUUUCACGAGGAUCGUGUUAAAAAAAAAGGGCUAAUAAUAAGUGACUGGUGCAGCUUUGAGGUUGCUACUACUGGUAUGUAUAUUACAGUACUCGGUUCGAUGACUCGAGAGAGAUGAGAAUGUAAAUAUGUCCGUCUUCCAAUGUAACUAUAGGGUUUAAGCACCCUUAAAUAAGUGAAUGAACCUUGUUUAAGCUUUUCUACUGCUUGAGCUUAUCAAAUGCACUUCACAAUUUGGUUACCUGGUUUUCUACUUGCAAAAUUGCAUUGAGUAGAAUGUUCAAGGUUUUCAUAUGGAUAUAGGUUGGCUUGGUAGAACACGGGGUAGCAAUUAGAUCAACUUGGGGAAGAAGCAGGCAUGAACAGUUUCGUUCUGUAGGCUGUAGCUUCUUAGAUCUGUAACAUUGGCCUCAGCUCAAAGACAAGGGCUGCUGAGUUCUCAUUCUUGAGAUAUAUAUAGGUUACUUGUUCAAGAAAUGUAAUGCGCCUUUGAGUGCCCUUGGAGCCUAAUACUACUGGUUUCUGGUUUGGUUCGCUUGCUGUCUCUUUGUUUGAGACAAUAUGAAAGAUUGGAGCAGCUACUUGACAGGGAUGCUAGGCACAAUUUGAGAAAAAUGGACCAAUAUGAAGUCGAUAGAAAACUUCAGAGAUGCAUAGAUCAAGAUCGUAACCCAAAUGAGGUGCAAUAGAUCAAGAUCGUAACCCAAAUGAUCCACAUUUUCGACAGUUCUUACAAUUUGCUUGCUGACCUGCUGGAGUAUAACAAUGGAUUAUAACAACAACAAAAAACCAUGUAAGUGGCCUAGCGGUCAAGUCGUCAAGUAGGGUACCCACAAAGUCACAAAUCCGAAUUCGGUUCAUGAAGCUGUCAAAGUAGGCAAGCAUUAUGUUGCAAUAUAUUCGUAGUUCAUUCAUAGUCGAGUAUUCAACAGGCGUCUGAGGAUUAAAUCCUACAUUUAGGAUACCUUUAGAUCACCUAACACAAUCAAAAUGAAACGAACAAACAAUAAACGUCACUAACUGGAGAUUCAUUACAAUCAUGAUUGACAAGAUUAAUUCCACAUUUGAACCCACGCCCUAUACCGAUUUGAAUAAUUAAACUGAUUUUAAUUCUAAUAUUAUAUAGUAAGUAAACAAUAUCAUUUGUUAAUAGUUACGUUUCUAUUCUGAUUUCAUAUGAUAAGUAAGCAGUUGAAUGGAAAUGAAAUAUUUUCAUACCGAUUUUUUAUGUCUCUUAUUUUUUUUUUUGAUACUGAGAGACUGAUACUGAUUCGUGAUAUUUUUUCUUUUAAAUUAAUGAAAUUGUCACAAGAGUGGGUAGCCUUCCACGUGGCACAAAUUUCUUGACUCUACAAAAACACCGACACACCUCACGAGGAGUCCAUGAAAGCCUUUCUUCUCCACACUGCUUCUCUCCCUCUGUUUUCGUACACUCCCAAACCUCCAAAUCCCCCCAAAUUCCCAAAACCCUAGCCGCCGCAAUGCCUACGCCGACACCGGCGAAGCGUUCCCGGAUUUGCAACUCGCCGAGCUCCGGAGAUACCGGCGUGAUCCGCCAGCUCCCGCCGAAAGCGCCGGAGCCGUCCGAUCGCCGCUGCGCUGCUUUCGGAAUUGUCGCCAAGCCUGUGAAGCCGUCGCCGAAGGAAACGCACAGAGAGCAGCCAUCGCCGGCGAUUUUGAUGGUGUCGUCGCCGGAGAUUGUGAGAGGGGAGCCAGCGGCGGCGUGUGUCGAUCAGUUCCUUGACGAAUGCUACUUUUGCCAGAAGAAGAUCCCUCAAAACAGUGAUGUGUUCAUGUACGGGUGAGGCUCCUUCACUAAAUUACGCCUCUGAUUUUGUUCUCGAAUUAUUUAAGUAAUUGUUUUACUCAGUUUCACUGCUUGGUUGGUAACAAAUAAAUUUAUAUUACAAAAAUUUAGUGAGAUUUGAUCUGUAAAUGCAGACUAUUUGGUGCAUUUUGUUCGGAAGUGUGCCGAUUCCAGCAAAUUUACAAGGACAAGGUAGCAGAGCAAGCACUUGUUAAAUCGACUAGAACCGCCGUCACCGGUGCCAAGAGCAAUGUGAAUGGAUGAUGAGUAGGUAGCUAGAGAGACCAAGUUGGCGGCGCAUGGCUAUCAUAUUUUAGAGAUUGUCCUGCGCUUUUGGUUGUUAUAUUUGUAAGUAGUUUGCUUUGAAAUCUCCUCUUUUGGUUCAUCAGUGGGUUAUAUAGUAGUAACUAGCUCCAUUUAGGAUCAGAAAUAAGAAUUCUAUUACAUAUUUUGUUUCGGCAUUGAAACGGAGUAGCGAGGUUGUGGUACAGUUGUUCCGAGAUACAAAUUAUAUUAAUGAUAAGAAUCGUAAACAUGUGCAAAACAUAGCCUGGCUUCUUUCAUUGUAGUUUGUUUGUUAUUUUCUUUCUUCUCUGCAACUUUAGGUCUUACAACUAGAUGCUUUUGUCUUUUGGUUUUCCAUUGUCUUGAUAUAUGCAAAUAGUUUGAAUCUGGAGAAGGUGAUUGGUGCUCUUCAGCAAACAAGUCUGUUAUUCUGUACUGUGAAUUUUCUGUUUAAAAAGGGAUGGUUAACGUGGAUGACCAAAUUACUCUGAUUAGAAUCAUUUCAUGGUUGCCAUUUUGUCUCGCAUGUUUUCCUCUUGAAGGGAGCAUUACUUUGUUUAUCUCCCUACCAGAGUGACCAGCUAUCAUAUUUGUAUCUCAUGAGAAUCUGGAUACAUCUCACCAACUUAUAAGGCCAUUGCUAGUAAUCAUUAGCAGCUUGUUGAUUAGAACCUAUUUCUUUGUGCUUAAUUCCUUUGUUUUACGCCCUGUACACUGUAGUAGUGUUCUGGUUUGAACCUACGGAUAAUAUUGACAAGUGCAUAUGAGCUGGUCCUUUAGGCCGUUCUUCCAAUGAAAACUAACCUUGAUAUUGCUAACUCAUUCAACAUUUUAAGUUUAUAUUCAUCCAGAAGUCCUUAUUCACCUACAUACCCAUAUGAGCAAACUUUAACUUCAGCCUUGAUAUUUUACGUUGUACAUAAACUGGAAUAUAGAUUGCAGAACAAGAAUGAAUGAAAUUCCACCAAAAACUUACAGGUUACAGGCAUAUGAUGUUACAGAAUAAACUUGUUACUGAAAUGAUUCUGAAUCCUUGAGAAUGUGGUCUACAUAUGACUCACACUUCUACAACUGUACUAUGUAUUGUAAAUCUCAUGUGUUUUCUUCUUUUAUUUUUGGCAAGCAAUCUCAUGUGUAUUAAGUAGUCAAUAACGGAGACAUGAGUUUGGCCUUGAUUUGAAAUGUGAAUGAAUUUGGGUAGGUGCUAGAACAUGCAGUUAUUUUUAUAACUUGAGCAGUUAGGUGUGUAGUCAAGAGCUUGCUGGUAUUGUAACUACUGUGAAUGUGCUAUAUAAAUUUGGGGAAGACAUUUUGGUGUUUAUAGUUGUCACUGUUAGGAAACCGUCUUUUUCUUUUACCUGAGACAGUUCUAAAAUGAUGUCUAGCUUGUAAUUUGCUCAACUAGCAGGAUCAUGUCUCACUAAUUCUUAGUCGAUGAACUACUGUCAUGUGCAGUUAGGUCCAUGAUGUUACAUUAGUAGCAACAUAUUUAUACAUCUUGGCAUGUUGUCGAGUUUUGGGUCGAAUAGUAAAUAUAAAUCGGCUGUUGGUGGGGAGAAACAGGCAGACUGAAUCAAGUACCCAGAAUGAGUGAAUUUAGGGGAUACCUAUGUUUAUGCGAUGAACUUAAUGCUACCAUCAUAUCACUGCAUUAUUCAGUAGCUUUUCGACCAUGCUUGAAUUUCAUGUCUGCUGUUACCUCUAGUAAAACUUUGCUUUUGUAACUACCUACCUGAUUUCCAGGAGUACCGAGUUACAAGAUACGACUCUCUUGUUCUCUUUUCAUCUACAACCCGCUGCCCAUUAAAGACUUUUCUUCUGCAUGAGGGCUCGAGCAAGGAACUUAAUUUUGGAAACAUGAGCAAAUGCUAGUAAUUGUUUCAAUGGUUUCUAACCCGAGUAUAGUAUUAGGCUAUCUGCUGCAACUAUAAUGGAUACGUGACAACCACUAUAUUAAUCAUCAGAGUACAAAAUCUAACAUCGUUGAGUGAUGGGUUGUAGGGUUGUGCCUUCUUUUUAUGGAGCAAAGAUCUGACUGAAACUGUGACAAACCUUGAAAAGGGUAUUCAAAGUUGAAUACUUCACCACAAGAUGGACAAAUAUGAAUUCUCUGCUCGGGUUGUCGAUGCUUUAAUGUGCAUCUAUUGCCUUCGAUUUAUGCUAGCAUGUAAUGCCUAGUUGCGGGAUACAAUUAGAAAAACUGCGAGUCACACUUCGAUGUGGGACUACCAAGUCUGAUGUUUAUAAACUAUGCAAGCUGCCUACGAGUCUCAACCAUUUUCCGCACAAUCAGAUUGGCCUAACAUGCAAGUCACUUACUGAUGUGUACCUUGAUCGAGAAUUCUUGAUCCAAACAUCUGAUACAUGAACUGAAUUUAUCACUGCAUAAACUGAAGCAAUCCCUCGAAUAAAGGGGUUGGAAUUCCUGAGAACAAAAGCAAGGUUACAUUAUUUGAUAUUCCUCCACUUUGUUCCUACAUGUCCAAAGAAAACGUUUGAGAGCUACGUGCUGCUACAAUAGCCCGGAACGCGAGCCAUAAGAAGUAACAAAUUGGUUUUUCAAUAGGAGUACAACAUGUGAUCAAUCGUAGAAUUACAUAUUUACAAACUAGUUUGAUUACAUAUAAUCGGCCUUAACUUAUAGAAUCUUUAGAGUUUUGAUGUAAUAUUGAAGAGGAUUCUAUGAAGAAGGCAAAGGCAUAAGAAAUUUAGAACCACUAAGGUCUACCGGGUCAUGUUGCCUCGCAGACUUGGACAUUCCAAUUGCCAAAGGAACCUAAUUAACAUAAGUAAAGCAUUUUAUGAACCACAGCAACACUAUCAUUCAAACUUCAUAUUUUCUGCUUCGUUCCUAAUGGUAUCGAAGAGUGGCGAAAACAGGUAACACUCUCCAGAACUGGCAAUCACAACAUGCAUGCACAAGCAGAAGAGUUUAGAGACGAGAGAUUUUUUUCAGUUCUUAUUUAUUAGACAAGAUUUUCAUAUAUAAGAAAUUCUUCUGUACAAGUAGAGCUCAAGCAAGGAGAUCGAAUAACUACUUUGGGUUAGACAUGAGCAAAUACUAGCAAUUGUUUCAAUGGCUUUUAACCCGUGUAUGGUAUUUGCUGCUACUAUUAUAGAUACGUGACAAACGCUAUAUGACCCAUCAAACGUACACUGCAAACUCUAGCGUGAGUGAUGGGUUGUAGAGUUGUGCCUUCUAGUUAUGGAGCAAAGAUUUAUGAUUGAAACUAGCCGUGACGAAACAUUAAAGGAUUAUUCAGGUUUGAAUACUUCAUCACAAUAAGAUGGACACAAAUAUGGAUUCUCUGCUCGGGUUGUCGAUGCUUGAAUGUGCAUCGUGCAAUUUUGACCUUCAAUUUAAACCCAGACAUGUAUGUUCAGUCGUGGCGGGAUACUAAAAAGAAACCGUAUGCCUAGCUCACAAUUAUGUCGUCAAAUAUUACAUUGUUAAGAAGAAAACUGUGACUCCAAUGCAUGUUUAAUUUUCUCCACCAAAGUGCUAGUAAUCCGCGAAAGAAUUAAAGGCCUGGUGUAUGCCUACAUUGUUAAGAAGAAAAUAAAAGCAUGACAUUACAAGCAUUCUUCAUAUAAGUUACGUAGCAGGAAGACAUGUACAAUAUUGUUCUCCCACAACCUUUUUGAAUAAUGUACAUAGGCUACUCAUAUUUUGCUUGUUUCUAAAGGAUAAUAACUAGAAACUCUAGUUUUAACUCCCAUCGACUUUUGCAAUGCUCUUCUCUUUUCUAAACAAUUAUAUUGUUAUAUUAAUUCUAUCAACUUGAACAACUAGUUAUUUGUGAGUCGAACACUCAAUCUACUUUUUACAUAUUGUAAUUCUAUGUCGCUCAACAAAAUGGUAUUGGGCAUGGAAAUGAUUUUUUAUUAUUGAUAAUCUUAUAUUCUUAUUUUUAGGUACAUUCAAUUAUUGUUAUAUAUCUCUUGCUAUAUAUGUAUACUCUGAAUUUAAAAUAUAUACAAAUCCACUAAGGAAUUGACCCAUUGGACCUGAUAAUAAAAGUCACGAGCUAAAUUUGUGUCAAAAGAAUUGAAAGAUUGAUUGAACACAUGAAUAUAUAUUGAAUGUGAUUUUCGUCUGAAUGGUAUACAAACUUUUGCUUCUUAUAAACUUUGGUAUAUCGAGUUUUAAAAAUAUCAUAACAGUAUCUCAUGUUUCCAUCCCGACCUAAGAUUGAUAUAUGUAAUCAUUAAGAUGACCAAUUUACUCUUAAGUUCUCUUUUUUUCUUAGUUUUUUUUUAUUUGUUUUCAUAUUCCAGAAAUAUCAGAAGAGGUAGUGGAAUUUGAUGAUUUAGGUUGACCUUUAUAAACUUGAAGAAGAUUGAAGAAGGGAAACAUACAAAAGUUUAAUCUUUGUUGUUUCCACUGACACUCAAGGAUCUUGUUGUUGUCGUUGACAUUCAAAAUAUACAGAAGUUUAAUCUUUGUUGUUUCCGCUGACACUCAAGGAUCUUGUUGUUGUCGUUGACAUUUAAGGAUGAUUGAGAUGAAUAGCUGAUUAUUAGCUAGGAGAAAGUGACGAUGAAUUUUUUUCUCUACGUUCUUAAAAAUUAUAAAAGCCAAUAAAAAAAAUUGGAAUAAGAAAACAAAGAAGUAAAACUAAGAAAAAAAA
rnacentral:lncRNA from 1 species